rnacentral:tRNA from 2 species
GACACUGUAGUCUAGUGGUUUAGGAUACUUCCCUUCCAUCAAACAGUGAAGUUUCACAGCUUCCAAGGCGAGGAAGUGACACGGGUUCGAAUCCCGUCAGUGUCA